GUGAGUGUCUCUGUGUUAUCCUGCGAUAGACUGGCGACCUGUCCAGGUUUUAUCCCGCCUCACACCCAUCGAUAGCUUGAGAUUGGCACCAGCGCCCCUCGCUACCCCAUGAGGGAUAGACGUGUUAGAAAAUGGAUGGAUAGAUGGUUUUUAUCAGGUGUCAUAAUAAGUCCCUUUUUUUUGUAAUACUGAACUAGCAUAAAUGUAAAUUUGAUCCAUUGUUAAUGGAAUAGAUUUUAUAACCUUUAAAUGAUAAUAUUCCAUCACAUUUAAGAAUUGAGUAUUUUGAUGAUUAUGUCCUUAAUUCAUAGAAAAUAAACAAAUAUGUCAUGACUUAAGUACAUGAGUACAAAAAGGUUUGUUUACAGGAACUGGGUGUAGGAAGGGAAGGAAUAGUGAUGGUGAAAUAAGGGGAAAAAAUUGGAAAAGGCAGCAGAUUUACACACAGCCACCAAAAUGACCAUCACCCAUCCUGGUCAUUUUGACCCUUCACAAUUUCAGGCUUUUAUAGUUUUGUUUGUUUGGUACUUCGCUUUUUCAACUUAAAAAAUAAACCGUCUGCAUUGUAUUUGCAUGGGAGGGUUAAGCAGAUCAUACAUAAUUUUCUACUAUAAUCUACUUAUCGUCUCCCUAUAAAUGGCUCCAAUAAAUUAAAUCCACUUGAAGGAUUCCUCCUAAAUCUGAUUGGUUUUGAUCCAUGUCCCAAUCAGUCAUUUUACCUAUGGGUCAACAUGAGAACCAAAAGAGAUACAGCACGGUUUAUACAAAGUUGUUUUUACAAAAUAUUACACAAUUAAAUUAUAAAGGAUUUUAAUGUUGUUAUGACUGUUUGUUCACAGAAUACCUCAUAAAUACAUAUACAUUUAUGGGUUAAUAAAAAUGGUAGGAGAACAGGAUAAAAUAUCAGCACACAGGUGCAACAAAUGGGUAUGAAUUGGUGAAGUGGCAAAUUGAUCAUGGGCUGACCAGCAUACUGAUAUUAUUAUUAUGUAUUUAGUUUUGUUAUUUUAAUUAUAUUGUUGCUGUUGUUAAUAACUUUGCUGUUGGCAUUAUUUUUUUGUCCAUGUUUUUAUCAUUAUUAGCAUGAAUAUUACUAUUAUGUUAUUUAUUAUUGGUGCUGUUAUUGAUGUUUUUGUUGUUUGUAUCAUUAUUGUUGUCAUUUGUGUUGUUGUUGUUAUCGUAUUCAUUCUUAAUGUUGUUGUAAUUAUUGUUUAUUGUUGUAGUUUUUACUAUUACUUAUGGUUGUUGUUAUUUGUGCCAUUACUUUUAUUAAGGUUGGUGUUGUUUUUGUUUUUACUGUCAUUAUUUUUACUGCUGUUACAGCAAACUAUAGGCAACCAGACUUUCUCUCAGUUUCAGAAAAACUAAGCGAAAGUCCGGUUGUUAGUGUUGUCAGUAUUGUUUUUAUCGUUGUAGAUUGUUAUCUUGUUAUUGUUGUGGUUUGCUGUUGCUGUGUCUUUGUCUUCUCUCAUUUACAGUUUAGCAAUGCCAUGGAAAAUUCUUCAUUACCUGCAGACAAACAAACAAGUGAGAGUAAAAGGAAUUUAAGACAUAUUACCAUGUAUCUGCAUGGAAAUGCUUAAUCCCGGAAGGAGGAAAAAAAAAGGGAAAGGAGAAAAGAAUGAGUCAGCAGAAACAAACACCGAAAGCUCAGUGUAAGGAGAAGAAUCAUGAGCCAGAUUGUAGCAAAGACGACUUCAAGGACCGGGUUAUUUUUUAUUUUUUUGGGGAAAUAAAUUGGAUUUUAUUUUAGCCCUCUAGACACACUGAACACCCAGGAAGGGGGUUUCCUCUUGUGUGGUCCUUCUCAAGGUUUCUUCCAGUCUCAACAGAAAAAAACCUUCAAUUCUGGGAGUUUUUUCUUGCCCACUUGAGGGAGGUGUCUUAAUCAUGUGGGCUUCCAAAUUACUAUUACCAUGUGUUUUAAAGAUUAAAUGACUUUUUCUAAAAAAUAAAACAAUGUUGAAAUAGUUU